GAGCCCGACCGUGGCGCGCUCGGAGGCGGCGAACGCGCUCUCUGGGCACCGGACCUGUGCUGGCUGCGCUGCGGUCCCGGCUGAGUUCCCCGCUCCGCUCCGAGCCUGCGGGUGGCUGCGCGCAGCCGGCAGGCCAUGUCAUGUGUGCCAUUCCCGACUCACACAGCACCCACAGCUGCAGGCACGGAGCCUACUGGCACCAUUCCAAUACUCCUGAAGACCCUUGCCUCUACAAGUGGGCCACAAAAGGCUGGCCAGAAGAUGCCCAUGGGAGUUCUCUAGCCUGGCAAGUACAGGAGCAUUGGUGAGAAAGAGUGUCACCUGGGAGUGAGAAGCCCUAACAGGGCAGCUGCAAACCUGAAACCUCUCCUUGGAAAGAAGUGCAGUUUUGUGUCAUGUUUCACAAAACAGGUUGAUGUUUUCACACCAGCCCUGAUUAGCACAGACGUCCCAAUUUCAUAUACAAGAUGCCUCAGCACACAGUCCCUGUUUCCCCAGACCAACUCUUCUGUAGUCCCUGUUUCCCCAGACCAACUCUUCUGGGAGAACAUGGAAAGCUGGAAGCAAAACAAUUAAAGGUGUGUCUCCUACAAAAGCCUGAGAGCUAAAAGCACAAAAGAUUCAAGUGUGACAAUCUUGGAUCUGAGGAGUACAAGCAACAAGGUUUGUGAAAGCUGGCAAAGCUGACCCCUGAGAACUAUUGCUCAAGUACUGGAAAGAAAAUCUUCUUGGGCAUCAGUUUGCUAGAUGUUACUCCAGCAAAACAUUAUUCUAAAGAAAAGGCUAAUGCUGUUGGUGUGGGCUCUACUAUACUCCUCUAACUCAACUAAAUCAUCAAGAACUUUAUUACAAGGCUAUAACAAGCAGGAGAAGUGGGGAAAUCUAUUGUGUGACUUAUAGCAAGUAUGUUGUAUGAACAUUGCUACAGUGAUCAUGGCCUUUUUGUACUAAAGGACAUGAAUUCCACCUGCAGAUGCACAUAUGCAGUUUUGUAUGGAAAAGCAGGAGGACAUGUGGUUUUUUGCCUUGUGGCACUUGCAGACAGCAAUGCAAGCACGGGGCGUGCACCCCAAGGGCUGAUGCCUGCAGCAGAUGCUGAUAGCUGAGGAGCAGCUGAUUUUCCAAGGGAGCGUCCUGCAUCACUGGGCAAUGGGAUUUGACUUGUUUCCAUUUCUUCUAUCUCUGAUUUAUUUGGAAAUAGGAUACCAGGUUGCUGCAGGCACAAAAUCUGGUGGCUUUCAGAGGACUGAAUUGUAUGUUGGGCAGCACCACUCCCUUUCACCAAAACAAUAGGAAGGACAAGGACCUCCUUUUAGUUCUGUUGUUUCUGGGUGCGGGAGUGGGAAGAAGUAACACAGUUGUAUCCCUUUUUGUUUUCUACUCUGAGACAGCAUGAUGGGAUGUGCUGCCACACAUCAAUAUGGGAGUCAGGUGCUCUCCCAGCGUGGAGCAAGGACAUCCUGGGUCUGCUGAAAUUAGUAGGAUGGCAGCCUUGGGCUUGUUGGGAAUGCAAAAGUUGUGACAAGCCUGAAGGACUCAUGCUAGGAUCCCGG
ensembl:lncRNA